UACGUAGGGUGCAAGCGUUGUCCGGAAUUAUUGGGCGUAAAGAGCUCGUAGGCGGUCUGUCGCGUCUGCUGUGAAAACUCGGGGCUUAACCCCGGGCCUGCAGUGGGUACGGGCAGACUAGAGUGCGGUAGGGGAGACUGGAAUUCCUGGUGUAGCGGUGAAAUGCGCAGAUAUCAGGAGGAACACCGGUGGCGAAGGCGGGUCUCUGGGCCGUAACUGAUGCUGAGGAGCGAAAGCGUGGGGAGCGAACAGG
rnacentral:rRNA from 1 species